UAAGGAAUAUUGGUCAAUGGACGCAAGUCUGAACCAGCCAUGCCGCGUGCAGGAUGAAGGUUCUAUGGAUUGUAAACUGCUUUUGUACGGGAAAAAAUCCCUGGUUUCUACCGGGGUUGAUGGUACCGUAAGAAUAAGGAUCGGCUAACUCCGUGCCAGCAGCCGCGGUAAUACGGAGGAUCCAAGCGUUAUCCGGAUUCACUGGGUUUAAAGGGUGCGUAGGUGGAAUGACAAGUCAGUGGUGAAAACCUGCAGCUUAACUGUAGAACUGCCAUUGAUACUGUUAUUCUUGAGUACAUUUGAUGUGAGCGGAAUGUGUCGUGUAGCGGUGAAAUGCUUAGAUAUGACACAGAACACCAAUUGCGAAGGCAGCUCACAAAACUGUAACUGACACUGAGGCACGAAAGCGUGGGGAUCAAACAGGAUUAGAUACCCCCGUAGUCC
rnacentral:rRNA from 1 species